UACGUAGGGAGCGAGCGUUGUCCGGAUUCAUUGGGCGUAAAGAGCUCGUAGGCGGCUUGGUAAGUCGGAUGUGAAACCUCCAGGCUCAACCUGGAGUCGCCAUCCGAUACUGCCAUGGCUAGAGUCCGGUAGGGGCCCACGGAAUUCCUGGUGUAGCGGUGAAAUGCGCAGAUAUCAGGAGGAACACCGAUGGCGAAGGCAGUAGGCUGGGCCGGCACUGACGCUGAGGAGCGAAAGCGUGGGGAGCGAACAGG
rnacentral:rRNA from 1 species